rnacentral:lncRNA from 10 species
GGAAGGAGGAGCAGAAGUAAAGGUGCUACACAUGAAACUUGUAACCAGUUACUACAGGCGAAAGCAAAUCCAUGUCUUCAGGCUGGUGUCAUCAGGGAGAGAAGCUUUGGUUUCCACAUAAGGAUAUAAGAUCAUUGAUGUAAAACAAGACAUGUAACCUCUCAAAUUGAGAGAAUGGAUUGGAGAGAUAUUGUUGACCAUGUUUUCCCCUGUAUCUCACCUUCCCCUCUCCAAGACUUCCUUGUCAGUUACCCAUAUUGAUAUCAGUUUAUCCACAUCCAUGCUUUCAAGUUUAAACAAAGAAACUAGGCAAAGGCAGCUAUGUAUUCGCUAGGAUUAGGGAGGAGAAGAUAAUGAACCACUGGAUAGUGAGAAGAAAGAGAGGUGGAGAAAGUGAGAGACCCCAGUAACAGAGGACAGGGACACAUUGCUAAGGAUAGGGACACAUUCACUGUAAUAUAGAAGGCCAUGCUUAUAUGUAAAAUAUGCAGUAAUUGUAUAUAUAUGUACAAAAGUGAUGACACACAUAUGCACAUAAACAAAACACAAUUACUGUCUAUGUUUCUUUAUUUGUGACCUAAUGUUUUAUGUUGUUUGUAACUGAAAAAAAAAUUCCCUUCUGAAUAAAAUGUCAAUUUUGCGAUUGCAUUUUUUCUUGUUUUUACUGUAAUAUUUCAAUUAUUUGUAUAUAUAUAUUUUUGAGACAGGAUUUCACUCUGUU